UACGUAGGGCGCAAGCGUUGUCCGGAAUUACUGGGCGUAAAGCGUGCGCAGGCGGUUCGUUGUGUCGGUGGUGAAAGCCCCGGGCUUAACCUGGGAAUGGCCAUGGAAACUGGUGAACUGGAGUGUGGCAGAGGGGGGUGGAAUUCCGCGUGUAGCAGUGAAAUGCGUAGAGAUGCGGAGGAACACCGAUGGCGAAGGCAGCCCCCUGGGCUAACACUGACGCUCAGGCACGAAAGCGUGGGGAGCAAACAGG
rnacentral:rRNA from 1 species